rnacentral:lncRNA from 1 species
UCUGUGAUAAUGACUUUAAUCCACUAAUGAAGGUGGUGCCCCGUGACCUGAACACCUCCUGUUAGGCCUCUCCUUUCAAUAUCACUGAAAGUUAAUCAUUGGAAAUUAAGUUUUUAACACAUGAACUCUGGUGGACACAUUCAAACCAUAGCAACUUGGCAACAAUAAAGAUGAACAGUAUUGAACUGAUAGAGAAAUCCACAUACAUAUGCACUCUAUGAAAACAAAUUACAUUGUGUUCUGUGCAACAACUGAUAACAGCAAGGUCCAGAUUGCUUAAAAAGUAGGUAUAAUCUUAUCUUUGCAUGAACCCAACUUGAGUCUACAUUUAUGGAAAUAAGAUAGCUUUUUUGAGUGUGACUACUUCAGAUAAACAGUAUGAAUUACAUUUAUGUUGUUUUCCUGAGAAUGUCUUAAAGCAUUUUCAGAAGGCUGGAACUAUCUGGGAAGAUGAAUGAAACACCCUGAAGGAUCACAGAAAUUUUGAGCCAAACAAAUGAUGUUCUUUUCAACCAAAGUUGUAGCAGCUGCACUUUAUUUAGUUCUUUGAACUUCUAACUCUAUUCUCUCCCUAUAGGAGAGCAGAAUACCCAGGAAAGUUGACAAAAUAUACAUGAUUAUUGUGAUUGGGGCCAAAUAUGAGGAGUUGAAUGAAACAUUAAUACAAACCCAUCUUCUUCAGUGACCUUAGCACUGCCUCAGGUUUUGCCAAAUUAGUACAUGUAUGACCUGGUUAUUGGUCUUUUG